ACAUGCUGCACUGUGAAUCUACCACUAGUCCAAGCCAUGUUCUCAGUGCUGAGGAGAAAGAAGGACUGAGAGCUGGUUCUGGUCUUUAAAAGCGUACAGUCCAGAGUGGCAACAGACUUACAUAAACAACCAACUAUGGAACAAGGCAAGACAAGCGCUGUGUUGGUUUUCUGCGGCUGCCACAAACUGGAGUGAGAAUGGGUUAUGUCUAACAGUGAGAUGGUCCUGAGUCUCAAGAGAAGUCUGUUCCUCACCAUACUCAAAUCUCACCAUCAUUGGUAUUAUUAUUUAAAAAAUUACCUUGACCACUGCUGGAAACUCUGGAGUUAUGAAAGCUGCCUGGAAUUGAGCUGUUGGUCACCACGGCCCCAGGUUAUAGGAUCAGUUCUGCAAGUCAGCCUUCAGGAUGCUGCGAAGAAACGACCUAAUCUCUUCAGACCUGAGGAUUGAAGACCCUUGAGAAAGGGAGAGCUCUGCACACUCAGUCUGUAUUGGGGAGCACCUGAGCAACACCUGGGGAAUGAAGAAGCCGGAAGAGUAGGGAGCUGUGCUACAGAGGUAACCCAGGCUCAGAAGCUGUCAUGGCCUUGAAGAGUUUUCCUGAAGUGGGGCAGGGGGGCCUGGCUAGGAUACCUCUGCAUGACUCUUCCUCCCAAACCUCCUCUCACCUCCUCCUUCUGAGUGACUUUGCCUGGGCAAGUGAUUGCUUCAGUGGGACGAGGGGCAGGGUAUCUGAGCUGCACCCCACAGCAUCUCCUAGACAAGUGUUACGUGAAAUGUGUGAGGAGAGAGUACUUGGGGGCCGUGUGUACCUGAUAUGUGUGUGUAGCUGUGUAUGGACUUGCCUGUCCCAGAGUCUGUAGACACAUGGGGUGACUGUGUUUGAGUAUGGCCCUGCUGUGUUUUGCAUCUGUGUGCAUCUGUGGAAUUCAGUGUGUUGUGUAUCUCUGAGCAGAUGUCCACACGUGUUCCGUGUCCUGUUGCUGAAGAGAACAGAGGAGCCGACUGGGCCAGAAUGUGGAUGCUGGGCUGCCUCAGUGGCCUUGGAAGGGGAGAGGAUGGUACUGGGGGAGAGGGCCACUCUCAUUUGCAGAAGUAGUCCUUUCUUUGGUCUGACCAGGAUCUUUCAUAUCCCUACUACCCUUCUUCCAAACCCAGCCUCUGUCAGGGAAUACAAAAUCACAGAAUGAGAGCUUGGAUGGAGUAGGGGUAUGCUGGAGACAGCACUGUCUCAUCAGUCAGCCUCCCUUUGGGGAGGUAGGAGAGUGGAGUUUCUUAUGAUGCUGCUCCUCCUCAGGGUGGGGAACCCCUGUAGAGAAUCCCUAGAAAAUCUCCCUGAAGCCUCUCCCUCUAGCUGACCAUGUCUCCAACACUUCUGUGUAUGUGAAAUACUCUGGAAAUGUACACCCAUCCACAGCCACCUGAGAACCGUAAGGAUUUUAAUAAAUGAUU